GACGAACGCUGGCGGCGUGCCUAAUACAUGCAAGUAGGACGCAGUUGCGAACGGGUGAGUAACGCGUAGGUAACUACCUAUUAGAGGGGGAUAACUAUUGGAAACGAUAGCUAAUACCGCAUACUAGUAGAUGGACCUGCGUUGUAUUAGCUAGUAGGUGGGGUAAUGGCCUACCUAGGCAAAGAUACAUAGCCGAGCUGGGAGGGUGAACGGCCACACUGGGACUGAGACAAGGGCCAGGCUCCUACGGGGAGGAACAGUAGGGAAUUUUCGGCAAUGGGGGGAACCCUGACCGAGCAACGCCGCGUGAGUGAAGAAGGUUUUCCGGUCGUAAAGCUCUGUUGUUAAGGAAGCGUUACUUAACCAGAAAGGGACGGCUAACUACGUGCCAGCAGCCGCGGUAAUAC
rnacentral:rRNA from 1 species